UCCUCUGUAGUUCAGUCGAUAGAACGGCGGACUGUUAAUCCGUAUGUCACUGGUUCGAGUCCAGUCAGAGGAGCCA
rnacentral:tRNA from 6 species